GAUGCAGAACGUAGCGAAAUGCGAUAAGUAAUGCGAAUUGCAGAAUUCAGUGAAUCAUCGAAUCUUUGAACGCACAUUGCGCCCGCUAGUAUUCUGGCGGGCAUGCCUGUCUGAGCGUCAUUUCAACCCUCGCCCCCGGCUUUUGCUGGGAGCGGUGUUGGGGAUCGGCCGCCCGUCACUGGGAGGCCGGCCCCGAAAUAGAGUGGCGACCACGCCGUGUGCUCCUCUGCGUAGUAGUAAAUCACCUCGCAGGCGGACAGCGGUGCGGCCUGCCGUAAAACCCCCAACUCUUUCUGGUUGACCUCAGAUCAGGUAGGAAUACCCGCUGAACUUAAGCAUAUCAAUAAGCGGAGGA
rnacentral:misc_RNA from 1 species